GCAGCCGCCACGGUAAUACGUGGGGGGCAAGCGUUAUCCGGAAUUACUGGGUGUAAAGGGAGCGUAGACGGUUAAACAAGUCUGAAGUGAAAUGCCGGGGCUCAACCCCGGAGCUGCUUUGGGAACUGCGCUUGUGACUGCACAGCUAGAGUAUGGCAGAGGGGGGUGGAAUUCCACGUGUAGCAGUGAAAUGCGUAGAGAUGUGGAGGAACACCGAUGGCGAAGGCAGCCCCCUGGGCCAAUACUGACGCUCAUGCACGAAAGCGUGGGGAGCAAACAGGAUUAGAUACCCGGGUAGUCCC
rnacentral:rRNA from 1 species